AACGCGAAGAACCUUACCUGGGCUCGAAAUGCAGGAGACCGGGGUAGAAAUAUCCUUUCCUCGCAAGAGGCUGCUGUAUAGGUGCUGCAUGGCUGUCGUCAGCUCGUGUCGUGAGAUGUUGGGUUAAGUCCCGCAACGAGCGCAACCCUUAUCUCCAGUUGCCAUCAUUCAGUUGGGCACUCUGGCGAAACCGCCUCGGAUAACGGGGAGGAAGGUGGGGAUGACGUCAAGUCCUCAUGGCCUUUAUGUCCAGGGCUACACACGUGCUACAAUGGCCGGUACAAACCGCUGCAACCCCGCGAGGGUGAGCUAAUCGGAAAAAGCCGGCCUCAGUUCGGAUUGGAGUCUGCAACUCGACUCCAUGAAGCUGGAAUCGCUAGUAAUCGUGGAUCAGCAUGCCACGGUGAAUACGUUCCCGGGCCUUGUACACACCGGCUAC
rnacentral:rRNA from 1 species